rnacentral:lncRNA from 10 species
CAGCUUAUAGGACUUCUAAAAUUUUAACCGUUGGCCCUCAGGAGCAGAUAGAAGACAUAUCUAACUUACCACUUGUGAUGGUUAAUAUUAAGUGUCAACUUGAUUGGAUUGAAGGAUGCAAAGUAUUGUUUCUGGAUGUGUCUGUGAGGUUGCUGCCAGAGGAGGUUAACAUUUGAGUCAGUGGACUGGGAGACGCAGAUUCACCCUCAGUCUGGGUGGGCACCAUUCAAUCAGCUGCUAGGUAGAAGAAGGUGGAAUGAGCUGACUUUCUGAGUCUUCCAGCCUUCAUCUUUUUCCCGUGCUGAAUGCUUCCUGCCCUUGAACAUCAGACUCCAGGUUCUUCAGCCUUUAGACUCUUGGACUUACACCAGUGGUUUGUCAGGGGCUCUUGGGGCUUCGGCCACAGACUAAAGGCUGCACUGUCAGCUUCCCUACUUUUGAGGUUUUGAGACUCACACUGAGCCACUACUGACUUCCUUGCUCCUCAGCUUGCAGAUUGUCUAUCGUUGGACUUCGCCUUGUGAUUGUGUGAGUCAACUCUCCUUAUAUAAACUCCUUUUCAUACAUUCCUCUAUCCUGUUACUUCUGUCCUAGAGAACGCUGACUAAUACACAACUGCUUCUUCUUUGCUGUGGAUAGUCUUGGGUGGGAGAGAGGAUCUUCUAUAAAAAAAAAUCAAAGUAAGCUAGCCUCCUCUCCCCUGUGGCCAGUCAGGAACAAACCCAAGCUUGGGAAGUCGUG